CUGUUCUAAUUCGAACCCAUAUUUGUUAGCCUUCAUAUUGUUUUACUCCCUUGUUAUGAUAUUUUCUUCUACUCCUGUAUAUUAGAUUACGAAUGAACUGUGAUAAAAUGGAGACACACUAAUUCCUUGAGAUGUUAAAAGUUUAAUGCGUAUAUAUAUAAUUCAUUUCUUAAAAAUUAUCAACAAUCCAGCUAAAGUACAUUUCCUGUACUAAUCAAAUGUGCUUUUUAUAUCACCUUAUGUUUAAAAUGUCAACUAAACAUAACAUUAUAGUAUUUCAAUUUUUCUUAAAUAACGACACAAUAACCACUGCCUAUCC
rnacentral:lncRNA from 1 species